rnacentral:rRNA from 1 species
UACGAAGGGUGCAAGCGUUAAUCGGAAUUACUGGGCAUAAAGCGUGCGUAGGCGGUUUGUUAAGUCUGUUGUGAAAUCCCCGGGGCUCAACCUGGGAAUGGCAAUGGAUACGUGGCAAGCUAGAGUGUGUCAGAGGAUGGUGGAAUUCCCGGUGUAGCGGUGAAAUGCGCAGAUAUCGGGAGGAACACCGGUGGCGAAGG